CCUACGGGUGGCAGCAGUGGGGAAUAUUGCACAAUGGGCGCAGGCCUGAUGCAGCCAUGCCGCGUGUGUGAAGAAGGCCUUCGGGUUGUAAAGCACUUUCAGCGGGGAGGAAGGCGGUGAGGUUAAUAACCUCAUCGAUUGACGUUACCCGCAGAAGAAGCACCGGCUAACUCCGUGCCAGCAGCCGCGGUAAUACGGAGGGUGCAAGCGUUAAUCGGAAUUACUGGGCGUAAAGCGCACGCAGGCGGUCUGUCAAGUCGGAUGUGAAAUCCCCGGGCUCAACCUGGGAACUGCAUUCGAAACUGGCAGGCUAGAGUCUUGUAGAGGGGGGUAGAAUUCCAGGUGUAGCGGUGAAAUGCGUAGAGAUCUGGAGGAAUACCGGUGGCGAAGGCGGCCCCCUGGACAAAGACUGACGCUCAGGUGCGAAAGCGUGGGGAGCAAACAGGAUUAGAUACCCUAGUAGUC
rnacentral:rRNA from 1 species